CCUACGGGAGGCAGCAGUGGGGAAUAUUGGGCAAUGGGCGCAAGCCUGACCCAGCAACGCCGCGUGAAGGAAGAAGGCUUUCGGGUUGUAAACUUCUUUUCUGGGGGACGAACAAAUGACGGUACCCCAGGAAUAAGCCACGGCUAACUACGUGCCAGCAGCCGCGGUAAUACGUAGGUGGCAAGCGUUAUCCGGAUUUAUUGGGGGUAAAGGGCGUGUUGGCGGGAAUGGAAGGCAGAUGGGAAAACUCAGGGGCGAACCCUGAGCCUGCAUUUGAAACUGGUGUUCUUGAGUGAGGGAGAGGCAAGCGGAAUUCCGGGUGGAGCGGGGAAAUGCGUAGAGAUAAGGAGGAACACCAGUGGCGAAGGCGGAUUGCUGGA
rnacentral:rRNA from 1 species